UUCCAAAAGGCUGCAGUAAUAUAAAAAUAUUAGCUAUCAUGGUUAUUCUGAGAGAGCCCCAAGGCAGGUAGAGGGUAGGACCUGAAGUAACUCCCUACAUCUCCGAUGCCUAUGAUUCAAGCUCAGGAUUGCUGCUCGGAGCAGAAAACUGCUGUGUGCACUCUCACCAACACACAUUUCUGAGAAUACUUUCCUGGUCCCAGCUAUCCACAGCCUUUUAUUAAAUUCCUUUUCUGUUUGGAUUAGCCCAAGACCAUCUGUUGUUUGUAAACAGAAACUCCAAGUAGUAAUCCCCAUUUGGAUGCUUCAGUAAAAGAGACUAAGAAGUGUUGUCCAUCUUAUUCAAGGCCAUUAUAAAAGCCACGGAUUGUUCCGAAAGUCUUCAACUUUUGGAGAAAGACCCACCUUGACUCAUUUCCUGUCUGUCUGUCUGACUUGGAAGUUCCAACAUGCUCAUGGGAGUCAGAUGGGAGUCCACGAACUGAGAAUAAAAUUGAGGAUGAAAGAGACAGGAUUUAGCAAUAAAAGACCCAAAUAAACACAAGACCAAAGAUCUCUGACAAAUAAAAGGGAAGAAGGCCAUGACUCAAGCAUCCUAUGUGAUGCUAAAUGACAAGGAUCUGCAUCAUGUUUGGGAAGUCUUAAGGUGAUCCGGUAAUGUCACCAGCCAAUUUGUCCUUUGAUUAUAAACUGAUGUAAAAGCAUCCUUGUUUAUCAAACUAGUACCUUAAAUGCUACCUCUGUGCUAUCAUCAUUUAAAAGUUACUCAAUGACACAAAUCAAAAGUGAAGGGAAAUCAGAAAUAGAGAGUUAGGGUGAAAUGACAAAGAAAAAAAAUGUGGAUGAACUGUGCUAGCAUGAUUCACCCAAAGGAUGGGACUAUAAAAAUGGGACACAGCC
rnacentral:lncRNA from 1 species